GUGCCAGCAGCCGCGGUAAUACCGGCAGCCCGAGUGAUGGCCGAUCUUAUUGGGCCUAAAGCGUCCGUAGCUGGCCGAACAAGUCCGUCGGGAAAUCCAGUAGCUCAACUACUGGGCGUCCGGCGGAAACUGCUCGGCUUGGGACCGGAGGACCCGAGGGGUACGUCCGGGGUAGGAGUGAAAUCCCGUAAUCCCGGACGGACCGCCGGUGGCGAAAGCGCCUCGGGAGGACGGAUCCGACGGUGAGGGACGAAAGCUAGGGUCUCGAACCGGAUUAGAAACCCGGGUAGUCC
rnacentral:rRNA from 1 species